AUGCCUGGAGGUCUGCUUCUCAGGGCGUGGCUCCUAACUUUAAGGCCAAUACCACCAUCUGCCCCAUCCAUUUCCACAACUUUCUGGGAGACUCAUGGGGCAUUCUCUUCUCCCACCCUCGGGACUUUACCCCAGUGUGCACCACAGAGCUUGGCAGAGCUGCAAAGUUGUCACCAGAAUUUGCCAAGAGGAAUGUUAAGUUGAUUGCCCUUUCAAUAGACAGCGUCGAAGACUAUCUUGCCUGGAGCAAGAUGGUGAAGAGCCCACAGAAAAAUUACCUUUUCCUAUCAUUGAUGAUAAGAAUUGGGACCCUGCCAUCCUGUUGGGCAUACUGGAUUCAGCAGAGAAGAAUGAAAAAGCCAUGCCUGUGACAGCUCAUGUGGUGUUUGGUUUUGGUCCUAAUAAGACGCUGAAGCUGUCCAUUCUCUACCCAGCUACCACUGGCAGGAACUUUGAUGAGAUUCUCAGGGUAGUCAUCUCUCUCCAGCUGACAGCAGAAAAAAGAGUUGCCACCUCAGUUGAUUGGAAGGAUGGGGAUAGUGUGAUGGUCCUUCAAACCAUCCCUGAAGAAGAAGCCAAAAAACUUUACCCAAAAGGAGUCUUCACCAAAGAGCUCCCAUCUGGCAAGAAAUACCUCCGCUACACACCCCAGCCUUAAGACUCUUGGAGAAGUUGGUGCUGUGAGCCAGAGGAUGUCAGCUGCUGGUCAUGUUUUCCUGCAGUACUUCCAUAAAAACAUCCUGGUGUCAUCACAGCCAGGUUGCUAUUCUAUUGGCUUAUUAAAUGAAAAUGGCACUAAAAGUUUCUUGGGAUUCUUUACUCUCUGCCUUCACCAGCACUAAAUUCUGUUCAUACAUCAGCUCUCUCUCUUGGUUAUCUUUGAAAUACGCUCUAUAUUUAAAACUCAAAUCUUGUUGGAUCUCUGUAGGGCUUGUGAUCAAUGAGGUCAUAUUGGUUGAUGGUUGAGAAAGCUUGCUUCACUCAAUCAGAGAAUGACUGCCAAUUUUUUUAACUGUCCCUGUCACAUCCUCUCAUUUGUUACCCAUUUUGAAGAGCAGUAGAAAUUGAGUUUCAAAUUCCUCUGUAAACAUCCAAGUAUAUA